rnacentral:lncRNA from 1 species
GGCUAAUCCUGUGCGCGUUCAUGACGCCAUUUUAUGCCGGAAACUAGACAUUUCUUAAAAAUACAUAUACCCAUUUUCAGUAUGCAGCCUGCUUGCAAGGGUGCUUCAAAGGCGUUUUCCAGAUAUUCCCGGCUGUGCGAGGGUCCAGGGGCCCAGCCUGCGCACGCCCUGGGUACCCCCCAGCAGGCCCCCUACGCGGGGGCGGAGAUACUGUCACCCAUUGGCUGAGGCAGCUCCCACACGCCCCCCAGAGCCCCGCAAGUCGGUACCUUCAGGAGUCCCCUCGGGCCACGCGUCAGUCACCCUGCGCCCCUCUCUCAGACCGCCAGCUCCCCCCCCCCCCCCACCCCGCCCCAGGUCCCUCCAUUUCUGCCAUCUCUGUUUUUCCUGACGCUUCUACUUGUGGCUCCUCUCGUUCCUUUGCGCAUUCAAAACUGGGCAGCGGGCAGGAGCGCGGCUCACCGCAGCCCUAGCAGUGGUGCCGGAAGCGCGACCGCCGCCUCGGCACAGUCCCCUGCUGCUUCGGCUGGUUCUUACUGCAGUACUUUCCCGUGGAUCUGGAAAAGUAACUCUUCACAUCCAUCCCCUGAAAAUCUUCUGAACAGGAAAUGGCAGAGCUCCAAAAGCCACAUGUGUACGAAUGAAAAUUCAUAACAUGUUAUUCAAACUCCUGUUGUAUUUGUGCAAUUUACUAAUUAGAUAUGGAGCUGUCAUUUGAAAUCUAAAGGGACUUUGGAGAAACCCAAGUGCAACAAGCUUUUGAAUGUUAUAAACCUACUGCCAACUUGUGAAAAAAGAAAACUUUGAAAAAAAGGUUAAAAUAGCUAUUUUACUGAUGUACUUUACAGAGAAGGAAGUUUGGAUAUGCAGUUGCACUGUUUUUCUUUUAAUUGAACGUACAAAUAAAAUUAUAUUUAUACAGAGUAGUUAAUGAAAA